CGGACCGGCGCACGGGUGAGUAACACGUAUCCAACCUGCCGAUAACUCGGGGAUAGCCUUUCGAAAGAAAGAUUAAUAUCCGAUAGCAUAUCAAGAUCGCAUGAUCUUGAUAUUAAAGAAUUUCGGUUAUCGAUGGGGAUGCGUUCCAUUAGUUAGUUGGCGGGGUAACGGCCCACCAAGACGACGAUGGAUAGGGGUUCUGAGAGGAAGGUCCCCCACAUUGGAACUGAGACACGGUCCAAACUCCUACGGAAGGCAGCAG
rnacentral:rRNA from 1 species